rnacentral:ncRNA from 2 species
UACGGAGGGUGCAAGCGUUAUUCGGAAUCACUGGGCGUAAAGAGCGCGUAGGCGGUUUCUAAAGUCAGAUGUGAAAGCCCGGGGCUCAACCCCGGAAGUGCAUUUGAAACUUAGGGACUUGAGUAUGGGAGAGGGAAGUGGAAUUCCUGGUGUAGCGGUGAAAUGCGUAGAUAUCAGGAGGAACACCGGUGGCGAAGGCGACUUCCUGGACCAAUACUGACGCUGAGGCGCGAAGGCGUGGGGAGCAAACAGG